AUUCUGGUCAUGCCCCUAUCAUUGAGGAUGUAACUGGAACUGAACAUGCACUGGGCCCAGAUAUUCAUGGGACUGUUAUAGUUGAUGAUGAAGAUGACAAUGAAAUUUCAACUGAUCUAACUGGAUGGUCUGCACAACAGACUGAGCAAAGAGGUGAUAUUUCUAGUGGCAGUGCUCAUGAGACUCAUAGUAGACCGAGUGCUCCUGAAUUUGAUAAGUUGCCAGACUACGGCAAUGACAUUGAAGAAGAAAUGAUUCGUGCUGCCAUAGAAGCUUCAAAACAGGAGGCUCAGGCUGCAGAGCAAGAAAAAGCAUUGCGAGAGCAUCAGGGAAAAACCAGAGCACCAGAAAUGGGAGCUUCUAAGCUAGAUGAGGUGGAGUUGGGGACGGUAGUGACCUCAAAUGGAAGGUUUAGGACAGGAAAGUUAUCUAUUCAAGAGGAAUCUGAAGAUGUGGAUGAGCAGCCUCUUGUUAGGCAUAGAUCAAGACGUACAUCUUCUGGCUCUAUUGAAUCAGCCAGAGAAGUUGGAGUCAUUGAGGCUAGUCCACCAUCCAGUCCUGGACAGAGUAAUAUAAGCAGUCACACCCAGCACAAUGGAAAUGCCUUCCAUUCUGAUGAGUGGGGAGGCAUAUCUUCUGAGGAGCAUGAUGAAGCUGUCAUGCUUGAGGCUGCAAUGUUUGGUGGAAUUCCUGAAGGGACUGGAUAUCGCUAUCCAUAUGCACCUCAUCAGUUCAUUCAGAGUGAAGGCCCUUAUUCACAGCGGAUGCCUCGUCCCCCUUCACCAUCCUUACAAUCUCAGCGGUUGAUCCGUGAACAGCAGGAUGACGAGUAUCUCGCAUCAUUGGCAGCUGACAGGGAAAAGGAGAUGAAGGCCAUGGAGGAAGCUGAAGCCCGUCGUUUGCAAGAAGAAGCUGCUAGGAAAGCUUCGCUUGAAGAAGAAAGGGAAAAAGAGGAAAAAUCUCGAAAGAAAUUGGAAGAAGAGCAGGAAUUUGAAAGACUGUUGGCAGCAAAAGAAGCUUCUCUGUCUCAGGAGCCAGAAUCCAAUGAUGAGAAAGCUGUUACACUUUUGGUGCGGAUGCCUGAUGGUACCCGUCGUGGCCGCCGAUUUCUCAAAUCUGACAACUUGCAGUCUCUUUUUGACUUCAUAGAUAUUGGUAGGGUGGUCAAGCCUGGCACUUAUAGACUGGUAAGGCCAUACCCAAGGCGUGCUUUCAGUGAUGG
rnacentral:misc_RNA from 1 species